ensembl:lncRNA LINC00702 long intergenic non-protein coding RNA 702
GAUCUUGACAGUUCACGUAACAUUCAAUCAAUUAUACCAUUGCUCUAUCUCUAAAGUUUUCUUUUUCUCCUUUUCUCAGUGUCUUACCAAGAAUGAAAGGCAACCUAUGUAAAAACUAUGGGCUUUCUAGUAUAAAUAAAAACUACUCAUCUCCAGAAAAUAAACAAUGACUGCUAAGAUGAUUGAAAAAAGAAAGGAGAAGAAAGUAGCUUGUAAAAGCGUGUGAAAUGCAUUCACGUUGGAAUCUCCUACAGGCACUUCAGUGUGGAUCAGCCUGACUUCAAUCCAUCUGUGCUUCCCAGGGCCGACUCCUGAAUUCCUCCUCCAUGCCAUCAUACCUUAUUGGCUCUCCUGCUGUUACGUUCAGUCAUAAUGUUAAAAACUCAGACUAUUAAAAUGUAAAGAUAUGAAUUCUUUUUGAAAUUGUCAACAUGGAAGAGUCUAUCUACAGUCUGCUUUUAAUUUAGCCGCAAAAUGACUUAGCUGAUGCAACAAUUUCACAUGCUGAGGAAGAGUUUUCGAUUGCCGAAUUAGUGUGAUAAAGUGAUGGUGAGGUUUUCUGUUGACUCUGGAAGCAACAACAAAAAUGGUGGUGCUCUUCUCCAUACCCAUGUUCAUAGAUAUAUCGUUACAGAUGACACUCAAACUUUGAUUUUUUUUCUUUUUUGGCUGACUGCUUGAAACACAUGUAGCCCCAGGAAACAAGUAGAGCCACCCCAGGGAACUAAAAAACAAGUGAGUAACCGAAGACUCUAAACCAUGUGCAGUAGAAAUCCUUGACUCUUGUUACAGAGAUGCCUGGAGGUUAAUCCACAUGACAGGGAUGAAUUAUCUAUUGAUGGGAUAUUUUUAAAAUAUCACCCAAAAGUUUGUAAGCAUAUACAUAAAAUUAAUUCAAAUAAUUUAAUGUGAAAGCUGAAGAAUGAAUCAGUAAAUUUUAAGAAAAAAGUAAACCCAGAUAAUAAGACAAAUUGUAGAUAAGAACAAUCACAAAUUGUUGAUUCUAACAUGCAGUUUUCUACUGCUUAAAACCCUUUGAAGUCUUAACCAAAUACACUGUCACCAUUUUUAUAAACUCAUUUAUUGUGAACCAUUUAUUAAUUGAUACACAAGCACACACUUUUUAGAGGUAGAUAUUGCAAUAAAUAAUUCUGACACUUUAGUUAACAGUUUAAUCAACUAAAAGAUAAAUUCCCGACAAAUGUGUUAAAUGACAAAUUUUAUUUUUCAUCAUAACCCACGUUUGAGUCUACAGGUGGUAGUUACAAUAUCUAAAGAGAAAUUUAUAUCAUAUGUCACUGGAUAAAACAAGAGGCAUGGUCUGACUUUGGGAAAGGCUGAAUAUAUAGCACAGACAGGCACUUUUUAAUGGGCUUUUGCAGGCCUCAAUAAUCAUUUUCCAAAUACAUUUGCAAUAAGUUUCAAAUAACACACUUCAAAUUAAAGAUCAUGUAGAUUCAAAUGUUUUACUACCAAUAUUUAUCCAUUUACAUACCAUAAAAUUGCAAAAUUGAACAUUCGUACAAAAGCAUUUUAAAAUGCCCCUGACUAAAAUAAUAUUUUCUGCAAAAAUACAA